ensembl:snRNA U6 U6 spliceosomal RNA
GUGCUCUUGGGCAGCACAUCUUCUGAAACAAUACAGAGAAGAUUAGCAUGGCUCCUACACAAGCAAGGUACACAAAGUGAACAUACUCAUGUAC